rnacentral:rRNA from 1 species
ACUAGUAUGAACGGCUAAAUGAGGACCUAACUGUCUCUUACAGCUUGCCAAUGAAACUGAUUUUCCAGUACAAAAGCUGGAAUAAACUCAUAAGACGAGAAGACCCUGUGGAGCUUCAAAUCAAACCCACCAACCAUGGACCCAAAGAUUUUUAGUUGGGGCGACUUCGGAGUAUAAAAAACCCUCCAAACAUGUAUUAUUUAAUUUCAUUAAGACUAACACACCAAGACAGUAACAUAAGACCCAGCAACAUCACGAUGUUGUCUGACAAAUGAACCAAGUUACCCCAGGGAUAACAGCGCCAUCCCCUUCUAGAGUCCCUAUCGACAAGGGG